UACGGGGGGGGCAAGCGUUGCUCGGAAUCACUGGGCGUAAAGCGCACGUAGGCGGAGUUGCUAAGUCAGGGGUGAAAUCCUGGAGCUCAACUCCAGAACUGCCUUUGAUACUGGCAAUCUCGAGUCCGGGAGAGGUGAGUGGAACUGCGAGUGUAGAGGUGAAAUUCGUAGAUAUUCGCAAGAACACCAGUGGCGAAGGCGGCUCACUGGCCCGGUACUGACGCUGAGGUGCGAAAGCGUGGGAGCAACGGG
rnacentral:rRNA from 1 species